rnacentral:snRNA from 1 species
CCCGGUCGUACUCAUAACCG